rnacentral:tRNA from 1 species
GGGAAAUAGCUCAGUGGUAGAGCACAUCCUUAACAUGCAUCUGGUCCUGGGUUCAAUCCCCAGUACCACCA